UGAAACACUUAUGAGAGGCCCAACAUUGGAUGGAGACUUUGAUACCAUUUUAAGAAAAUGUGCUAUGCCUAACUCACCCCCAAAAGCUAGAAGUGUCCAAAACUUUAUAAGGGGCACAUUAUCUGUAACAUAAUAGGUAAAUCAAUCUUAGGGAAGGGAAUUGAAAUGAAACAGAAUUCUCGGAGAACACAUGAGAAACAGUGAGAUUAGAUGAGAAAAGAAUAAAACAAGAUGAGAAGAGAAAAGAGUCUAGAGAUGAGAGAAAGUAUUAUUGAAUAUUAUUCUUGAAUGAAUCGAUACAGUAUGACUUCUUCCUUUUAUACAC
rnacentral:misc_RNA from 1 species